rnacentral:rRNA from 1 species
AGAACGAACGCUGGCGGCAUGCCUAACACAUGCAAGUCGAACGAAGCCUUCGGGCUUAGUGGCGCACGGGUGCGUAACGCGUGGGAAUCUGCCCCUCGGUUCGGAAUAACAGUUAGAAAUGACUGCUAAUACCGGAUGAUGACGAAAGUCCAAAGAUUUAUCGCCGAGGGGAUGACGCCCGUGGUAGUAUAGCGUUAGGUUGGUGGAAGGUAAGGCUCAACCGAAGGCGACGUACUCCGUUAGCGUGGUC